GUGAGCAUCAGUGAACAGUUGGCAUAUGCUGGUUUUUACUAAGAACAGAACCUGGAAAUCUGGAGAAUGAAGAAAACAACAGGGGAACAAACAAACUUUGAUUUUCAAAGUCAUUACUAACAACGUAUUGCCAAAAACAAGUCUGGCUCCACAGAGAAGUUUCCAGGUAGGUUCUCCGCUAAUGCUAUGAAGUCUUCACGAACGCCGCUCACUUCCAUGGCUGAAAGGACUAUCUAAAGGCUCAUCACAGACAAAUUAGCACUUCCAGGACUUAACAGCAACUGUGAGUUCAGAGACUAUAAUUACAUACUGUCUACUAGAUAAACACCUCUACUUGAACGGCCCAAAGACAAUUAAAAUUUAACAUCUCUACAACUAAAAAAAAGAACUAAAGCCCUUUUCCUCUCAAAGAAUACCACCAUUAUCUACUAUGGACUACCCAGAAUGUCCCUUAUAGAAUCAGUCACCAAACUUAUUGGUUUUACUUCCUAAACAGUUCCCAAAUAUCUUCACAUCUCACAAUU